UCUGUACUUGAAGCUACGACG
rnacentral:piRNA from 1 species